GGGUCGGUGGCGUAGUUGGUUAUCGCAUCUGUCUAACAUUCUAGUGAUUCACUGCAGUGCACAGAAGGUCCUCAGUUCGAACCUGGGCCGACUCA